AAAAAAACAAAAACAAAAAAAACACACGUGUACCCAUUUUAAAGAGUACUUUCUACCUGGUGCUUCAAUUUUUUCAUCAAGAAGGCCCCAAAAUAUGUACCAAAAUAAGACCCUAAAGGAGAGCAUAAAAAACCCCAACUCAUACCCCAAACAACCAAAGCAAACCAACAACCAAACCACCACAUUCCCACGCCAAAAAAGAUGCUCAAGCUCAACAGUAAAACAUGACAUCCUUCACAUUUUCUUUUAUGCUUGGCAGCCGUUGAAUUUCUACAUUCCCACCACCUGAACUCGUCGAACCGCUGUCGGAUGAAUCACCCUCCAUGUAAUAACGAGCACGAAAGGCUGCAAGAUGGGCAUAGUAUGCUGGUGGAACAAUGGAAACAGACCGUG
rnacentral:misc_RNA from 1 species